rnacentral:rRNA from 1 species
AGUGAACGCUGGCGGUAGGCCUAACACAUGCAAGUCGAACGGCAGCACAGUAAGAGCUUGCUCUUACGGGUGGCGAGUGGCGGACGGGUGAGGAAUACAUCGGAAUCUACUUUUUCGUGGGGGAUAACGUAGGGAAACUUACGCUAAUACCGCAUACGACCUACGGGUGAAAGCAGGGGAUCUUCGGACCUUGCGCGAUUGAAUGAGCCGAUGUCGGAUUAGCUAGUUGGCGGGGGAAAGGCCCACCAAGGCGACGAUCCGUAGCUGGUCUGAGAGGAUGAUACGCCACACUGGAAGUUACACACGGACCAGACUCCUACGGGAGGCAGCAGUGGGGAAUAUUGGACAAAGGGCGCAAGCCUGAUCCAGCCAUACCGCGUGGGUGAAGAAGGCCUUCGGGUUGUAAAGCCCUUUUGUUGGGAAAGAAAAGCAGCAGGUUAAUACCCCGCUGUUCUGACGGUACCCAAAGAAUAAGCACCGGCUAACUUCGUG